rnacentral:rRNA from 1 species
UGAAAGGCGGCUUCGGCUGUCACUUAUGGAUGGACCCGCGUCGCAUUAGCUAGUUGGUGAGGUAACGGCUCACCAAGGCAACGAUGCGUAGCCGACCUGAGAGGGUGAUCGGCCACACUGGGACUGAGACACGGCCCAGACUCCUACGGGAGGCAGCAGUAGGGAAUCUUCCGCAAUGGACGAAAGUCUGACGGAGCAACGCCGCGUGAGUGAUGAAGGCUUUCGGGUCGUAAAACUCUGUUGUUAGGGAAGAACAAGUGCUAGUUGAAUAAGCUGGCACCUUGACGGUACCUAACCAGAAAGCCACGGCUAACUACAUGCCAGCAGCCGCGGUGUACGUAGGUGGCAAGCGUUAUCCGGAAUUAUUGGGCGUAAAGCGCGCGCAGGUGGUUUCUUAAGUCUGAUGUGAAAGCCCACGGCU